GGAAAGGAAGACAGUGGCGAAGAGGACACUGGUGGCUUCCACGAUGUGACUGAAGGGAGGCUUGCAGGAUGUGUGCCUGGGCACUUGUGUUUUCAAUGGAGCUUCCUGGCCUUCUGACCUCACAGUCUCUGUGCAGAAAGGCUGAAGUUUGGACAUCACUUGCUGAGUGGCAACAACCUCUCUUCAGAUGCUGCCUGGUGUGGAUGACAAGGGUCAUGGCAGGAGAGGAAAUGCUCUGGACAGCACCAAGGGAGAACACAGGCCGGGGCAUUUGAUGCUCUGGCCACACCCAAACCCUCAUUCUCUACAGCAGAACCAGCCGUAGCUACAAAGCCAAGGAAGGCUGUGGACAGAGGUUGCUCUGGAACAUUCUGUCUUCACAUUUAGGAGCAGCCAUUUUGAGGAGAGGAGGUAGGGAAGUGGGGUCUUAGCCAGGCCCCACAUACUCCUACAUCAUUUGGCUGUCUGUAGUGCAGGCGAGGGGCCCAGGGUAGAGUGGCCUUUGCUCCCUGAGAGUGGCAGGUAGUGAGCUGGGCCCUAUCUGCAGCUUUGAUGGAUUGUUUUCUCAGCCCAGGUGGCUGCAGAGAGGAGCAGGUGACUCAAGCACCGGUGACGCUUACUAGAGUCCAGGUAGCUGACAGAAGUGGCCAGCCUCAGCUCUUGGUGGUGACCUUCUUUAGGCUCCCCCAAGAAGGUGGAACCAGACCAAGCAACAUAUCCAUGUGGUCCUCCUGGGGGAAGCAGAGCCUCCAUCCGUGUGAGGAUUGCCUGUGGCUCCUGUUUGGGAGCUAUUGAAAAAAAAAAAAACCAACAUUCUUGGCAAGCCAGGAAAACACCCAAUGGGCCCUUGUCUCCAGACUCCCAGCUCCGGUUCAUGCACAGUAUGGCAUCUUGUGACUUGUACUUUCAACAGAAAGGUAGCAAGACCCAGGGCAAGUCCAGCGCUGCUGUUCACUGACCUUGUAAUCAAAGCAUCUAUAUUCUCCACAGACUCAUCCCUGCACAUCUAUCCUGGCUGGACCCAUUCACUUAGGAGAGAGCCCCUUAGCUGUCCUCAGUCUAUCCCACAGCAUGCCCCAGCAGCUCCCUCCCUGCCUCUCUUCCCUUCCAUGCAUGCUCACUGCGCUUCCCUCUGAGAAACCUCCCUCCUCUUCAUGGUGUGUUUUUAAGGAAAUACCAAGUGUUGGAACAAAUAAACUCCAAACACUCUUGGUUGAAGAUAGCAGGUUUAUUGAUUGUUCUCACAGCAGUCGAGAAGCAGGUGGUUACACCCUGCAGGUGGCCGGUCUCCUUACAUGCUGGGGUGAAGAGAGGGACACUCUUCCAACCUAUCGCUGCCAUUCCUGGCUUCAUCUGACUCCAGAUGGGGAGGAGGAGAAGACACACAUGCUUCUUAAAAGCCCAUCUAGAUCGGACAUUCAACCUCCCCACAAGAUUCCGCCAUUGACCCACAACGCCACCUGGAGCUGCUCUGUGGUGUGCCAAAGCCUUAUCAUGCCCAGCAUGAGCCUGGAAAACACAAGUGACACCCAUCACCACGGUAAGCAGAGAAACCCCGAGGCCAGCAGCA